AGAAAACAGUAGCUGCACGUAGGUUGAGGGGAGGCUAAAUAAGCUGCGGACGUAAAUGCAAUUAAACCUUCUUGCGAGUUGAGAAGUGAUGAAUAAAGAAGCGCGAGCAGCAGGGGAAUGAGGUGACUGAUGCAGGAUUAGCAGAACCAGGGGAACCACACACGACUACAAUAGUGUCUCAUUGCUGUGACCCAGACUGCGCCAGAAAAGCCAGGAGAUGCCCUUCGGCUGCGAGCUCUAAGGAGAGAAAGGAGGAGGGGCAGAAGCGACAUAACCGAGCUCUGGACCCAGCCGGGGAAGGGGAGUUCUUGGGCAGGACGGACGCUGCGCCUGCACAUUUGCACCUUCACCCCCCCCCCCCCCCCUCCUAGUGGGAUGCGGCGGCUCAAACUCCCUGCGCUGAAAACCAGCCUCAUGCCCUUGGCGCCCGCCCCGCCCCCGCCGCCUUUCCUGGGAGCCCCCGGAGCCUCCCCCCGCCCGCCCCCUCCCCCGCGGGUUCCCCCUCGGCCGCCCUCGCGCCCCCUGCGUUAGUGCGGUUGCUGCGGGCGCGGCGGCGCGGAGAGGGAGCGGCCGGCCCGGGCCCCUGGGGGAGCCCCCCUUGCCAAGGCCGGCCCUCCGGGGGCCGGGGUCUCUCCUGGCUCCGGCCCCGCCGCCAUUCGGCCACUAGAGUCAUUUUCCUAAGGCCCGUCACUUCCCCCUCAGGGGCUCCGGAUCGUUUCUCCGGCUGGCAGCGACGGCCCCUCGGGACCGCCUCCCACCGCCCCGGCUGUUCCCCGGACGCGCCCCUCGGGGCUCUGCUGCCCAGGGCCUUGGCCCUGGCCCCCUCCGUGCUGGGUGCUCGGACUGCCGACUCCCGGCUCCCCGGAGUCCCCAGGAAACUCCCCCAGCCCCUGACUCCAGGGCCUUCUCCCGUUCCUCCUGUAAGCCCGGGCACGGCUGGCUGUGGGAAGGGCGGCCCCGUGGAAACCCACGGGCAGGGAGCCAGGCUCCAGGAGGCCCCUUCCACGGGACAGCCCGGGAAGAGGUGACUGCAGAGGGAGGCAGGGAGGGAGGGGUCGGGGGCCCAGUGCAGGAUUCUUCCUUGUUCUCAGAGGAAACCGAAUAAAGGAAUGCUGGGAUCCUUGACAAAUGGAGGAGCGUGGUGGGCGUCCAACCACGACACAGAAGGGGGUGUCCCGGAAGGUGCUGCCGAAGCAAGCCGGUCAGGCCUGGAGGGGAAGGGCGGCCAGCAGGCCCAAGGGCGAAGACGAGGGCCCUGAACGGCAUCCCCAAAGUGGAGAAGCCAGCAGGGCUCGUGGAGAAAAAGGGAGUUUACUUUUGGACACCCUGGGACAUCGGGGAUAUACAGGGCUUAGGGUUGGGGUUAAUGCUUAAGUCCACUGAGGAUGUGCGCCUGAGAGAGGAGAACCAAAUCCAUGGGAAACCACAGCAGCCCAGUCUGGAAGAGAAGAGGGUCCAGGACAGAGCCCUGGGAGACCUCGCCCGGGUUAGCAGGUAAUCCGGAGGAGGAUCAAGAAAAUGAGACUUGGAAGGAGAAGCAGAGAGUCGGGAGGAGAAGCAGAGGAGAGCAGCGGACACAUAGAGACGUGGCUGAGUCAGUGUCCAAGGAGGAGGAUGAGAAAAGGCCUCCACAUGUGAGGAUGACGGGGUCCUUGGUGGCUGAGUUUGUCCUGCGUUCUCAGGGGACCAAAAGGACACGGCUAUCGUAGAGUCAAGUUAGAGUGUGUCUGACUAUGGUUGAUCAGACUUCUGGGCUUGGAAUGUUCGAACGUUUCAGGCAGCCCACAUCUGGGGUGGCUUCUCUAAAUUUGGACGUUCUGUAAUUCUUUGGAGCAAGUGGGGUUCUGCUCGGUCACAGCCCAGCCCCUUCUCUGCUGAGGGCAGAUUGGGCGGGCAGUCAGUCCUGCGUCAGCCUCUCCCACGUCCCAGAAGUCUCCCAAAUGAACCCCACAGAGUGUCCUUGAAUUGCUUGCCCCGGUGCGUUCUCCGGCCCCGGAGCUGUGCUCUCUGCAGCAGCAUUGGAGUUCUUGGCAGUUUAGCUCAAGGACUCAGGGUCUGGCAGCUUUACCUGCCAGGGGAUCUUCAGACUCUUGCUAAGACAGUUCAAAUGGAAGCGACGGCCCGGAUGAACGCUUCAGGCUUCACAAGCGUAUGACAGCGAGGUCUCCCCGUGGCUCCGGAGCCCUUGGUAGUCAGCCUCAUGCUUCUGCUCUCCUCGACUUUCCCUCGGAGCCCCCCAGACACUGAGCUGGCAACUCGUGCAUCAACCUCCAGCCGCGUGCACAUCCCUGGACGGUAUCCCCGCUUUCUCCACGUGCUCUCACUGAUGGUUCCCGUAUGGCUGUGGCGGCACCGGCUGACGGAGAGCCGUUUUCUUGGUGUUGAUUGCUAGGCCCAAAUUAGCACAAGCGGCAGAGACUCAGUCUGCACUUUGCCCCGUCUCUGCUUCAGAGGCCACAGAGGUGACCGACACACGCUGCUUUUCCCAGCUCGUUUCUAAACUCCAGACUUUCAGCGCUGGGUUCUGCUGAGCUCUGGGGUGUUAAGCUGGCCAAACUGGGAAAGUUCUGGUCCCGAGCCCCUGGGACAGUGGGGCCUCUGCAGCCUCAGACUCCACUUCCCCGUGGGGUUCAUUCUCCCUGGCUGUCCUUUAGGCCUGGAAUGCCCUCCCUCAUUUUCGCCUUUUGCUUUCUCUGACUUCCUUCAAGUUGCAGAUGAAAUUCUACCUUUUACAGGAAAUCUUUGUUAGCUCCCAUUUAUCCUGCGUUGGGCUUCUUUGUACAGUUACCUGCUACCCUCUCCCCCAUUAGAAUGCGAUUUCCUCCAGCGAAGGGACUGGCUUUCACCUUCUGUUUGUGUCCCUGGUGCUUAAGCUAAUAUCUGACACAUAGUUGGCACUGAAUAAAUGCUAACUAUACUUGUUGGUAAAUAAAGGAAGAUGAGAGAGGCAGAAUUCAUAUCUGAAAAUAAAAUUGAAUGUUUAAAAAUCGAUGAAGAAAAAAAUUGGUGAAUAAGAAAACAGAGUAUAGAAAAAGUGAAAGGUCCUUUAGGGGAUGCUGGGGACCUUGGCCAUAAGGUAUAGGCUGUGUUGGGAGCAGGAUCUAUUUUAUGCAGAUUGGGCGGGUUUCUCCUUAAGGAGAGGGAGGCCAUUCUGAGAAUUACUGGUUUGGCUUUCUUGAUGCCUGACUUUAUUUAGCCAGACUGCCCCGGAAGGCUGCCAUUCUGACGGUGUGGCCAUGGUGAAUUCAGAGAUAAACAAUAUUACAUCAAACUUUAUCGAAGUUGUUUUUACUACAUUUUAUGCGCUGCAAGUUUCUAAUUCCAAGCCUGAAUCACUGCACUGGUCUAAGCUAGUUAACUAGUAAUUAGGUAAAAAUAGUAAUAAGGGGAGGAAGCUGCUUUCCUUUCGCUUUGAAUUAAGGAAAUCUUCCCUAAAAAUUGCUACUGAGAAAUGGAACCGAACGACUAUGGACAGGAGGCUCUCAAGCAAAAAGCUGGAUGACUACUUGUUGAAGACGACAGAGACUCUUGUGCAGGCUCUAAACUUCUCGAGGACAGGAGCUGCCUUUUGCCUCCCAGCCCGGGGCCUGGCUCAGAUGAUUGCAUACUCCAGGAGGCAGGCCUGCACCUGUGCUUUCUCUCCCUGACCUGGGGGCUGAGCCACACUAAGGGGACACAUGGCAGAUGGAGACAGUGGAACUCACAGGAUGGAGGAGGUCCGGGUGGCGGCGCUGGCGGAGUGGCCUUGAAAGUCUGAGAACGGCUCUGGGGUCAAUCACUCAUCCCAACGAGGAGGGCAGAGCCCCCCCUGCCUGAGUAUUAGUGGCACCCCUGCUUGGAGUGCAUGAAGAACAGAUCAGAUGACCUGGAAAGCUGCAACCCAGGAAAUCUGUGCAGCUGAACUUGCGCCCAAGAAUAUGCAAAGUGGGAGCAGCCAGGGCCCAAGAAGUGCCAGAUCAGACCCCUCACUCAGGGAAGGAGAGAUCCAUAGAAAGAAUAGACCUGUAAUCACAAGAAUUAAUACCCUCCCCCCCAAAUCCUCUAGUCUGAAGGCCUCGAGUCUCUUAUUCCCUUCCCACUGGCUUCAUGGAAAUCAGCAACUGGGGCCUGAGCCUCUAGGAGGGCUAUUGAUGAAGUGAGGACUGAGCAAAGGGGGUAAGGGACACUAGUCUGGAGGGCCUGGGCUUAGAGGAGGCUGGUUUGGGGCCAAUAUUUACCCCCGAGGCCCUGAAGAAUAAGAAUCCUCUCAGUUGGUUUCCAAUUUCCAUGAAGUGUCGCCCCAUCCCACACUCCCACUCCCCACAUUGGCAAAGUAAGCUCCACAUGGUCACAAAACACAGGCCCAAGUGCGGGUUUCAGAGAUUGAGGCACGGUGGGGCCAGCUGUAACCUGAAUUUAAACUGGGAUUACACAUUAGGGGUUUGGGAGCCUUCUUGUUAAUCAUGUUUAAUGUUUUUAAAUCUACAUUUUCAUGUUGAAUUUUUAAAGUCACCACAAAGUUCAUGAUGGAAAAUUGAUUUUGUAAAACUAGAUUCAUCAAAAGAUACAAUAAAGACACAUCUUAAAUGGAAAUUUAACAAAGAUUUAUUAAACACCU
ensembl:lncRNA